CCAGUUGGCCGGGCAGCCGCGCCUUGCAAGGGCCGAAAGGCCGCAGGGUGAGGAAAGUCCGGGCUCCACGGAAACACGGUGCCGGAUAACGUCCGGCGGGGGCGACCCCAGGGAAAGUGCCACAGAAAGCAAACCGCCUUCCUUGGAAGGUAAGGGUGAAAGGGUGGGGUAAGAGCCCACCGCGUGCAUGGCGACAUGGACGGCACGGUAAACCCCACCGGGAGCAAAACCGAAUAGGGAUGACGCGGAGCGCGCAAGCGCUCCAGCCUGUUUCCGGGCCGGUCAUCCGGGUGGGUUGCAAGAGGCCGGGCGCAAGUCCGGUCCCAGAUGAAUGGCUGCCACGUUCCGGCGAAAGCCGGAGCCUUACAGAACCCGGCUUACAGGCCAACUGGCAAA
rnacentral:RNase_P_RNA from 3 species